rnacentral:misc_RNA from 1 species
AAAGAAUUUGAAUAAAAUGUUGAGGAACUUUAUCAGACUGAUGGGAAGAUUGAUGAUUUUUUUAAUGCCAAGGAAUAUGUUAUGAAGAAAAUGUUGAAGGAUGAGUACUUCAGCAUGGAUGACAAGAAAUGGAAGGAGAUUGAUGAUUUGUAGAAUUCCCUGAUGACCACUGUUCCACCAAUGGUCAUGUUGUAUUUUUAGGUCGAAAUU